UNGGAUACAUACUUGCCACAACUGGUCUUC
rnacentral:piRNA from 1 species